rnacentral:rRNA from 1 species
GACGAACGCUGGCGGCGUGCUUAACACAUGCAAGUCGAACGGAAAGGCCCUGCUUUUGUGGGGUGCUCGAGUGGCGAACGGGUGAGUAACACGUGAGUAACCUGCCCUUGACUUUGGGAUAACUUCAGGAAACUGGGGCUAAUACCGGAUAGGAGCUCCUGCUGCAUGGUGGGGGUUGGAAAGUUUCGGCGGUUGGGGAUGGACUCGCGGCUUAUCAGCUUGUUGGUGGGGUAGUGGCUUACCAAGGCUUUGACGGGUAGCCGGCCUGAGAGGGUGACCGGCCACAUUGGGACCGAGAUCCGGCACAGACUCCUACGGGAGGCAGCAGUGGGGAAUAUUGCACAAUGGGCGGAAGCCUGAUGCAGCAACGCCGCGUGCGGGAUGACGGCCUUCGGGUUGUAAACCGCUUUCGCCUGUGACGAAGCGUGAGUGACGGUAAUGGGUAAAGAAGCACCGGCUAACUACGUG